rnacentral:rRNA from 1 species
CACGUAGGGUGCGAGCGUUGUCCGGAAUUAUUGGGCGUAAAGAGCUCGUAGGCGGCUUGUCGCGUCGACUGUGAAAACCCGCGGCUCAACCUCGAGACGUCGGCGGAAACCAUCUGGCUAGAGUCCGGAAGAGGAGAGUGGAAUUCCUGGUGUAGCGGUGAAAUGCGCAGAUAUCAGGAAGAACACCCGUGGCGAAGGCGGGUCUCUGGGCCGAUACUGACGCUGAGGAGCGAAAGCGUGGGGAGCGAACAGG